rnacentral:misc_RNA from 1 species
CCUUCUUCCAAAACGAGGCUGGCGUCAAGAUGGAUACACCAGAUCUUAUUGAUGCAAAUGGUGAUCAUGCCCAAGCAAACAGUGAUGCAGAUGGUGAUCAUGCCCAAACAAACAGUGAUGCCCCAAUUGCCUCCACAUCAACAGUUGAUGGUGCAGCAUCUAAGACAACAACAAUUGGUGCAAAAGAUAUUGGACAAAUAGUCGGGCCUCCCCACCAACAAGUAAUUGUUUUUGGCCAGGAUCAGAAUAAAAAACAGAAAAUCACUCUCACUUCAGAGCAAAUUCGUGCUUUAGCACAUAGAGCCCACAGCGCAAAGAGACAAACAUUGGUUAUAUUACCAACAGACAAACGAGAGCAAGAGCUUGAUACUACCACUGAAGUGCUCAAGUUAGCUGAGCCAAAUCAAGAAAUAAUUGUUAUUAAAGAUGCUGAGCCAACUCUAGACAUGGGUAAAGACAAACUAGAACAAUCUAAAGAUAAUAAAGGUUCAAAAGUUAGUACCCCUAUAACAAUCAAAGUAGGCAGUAAAAGUGGUUUCGCUGAAAUAAACGCCACGACUGGACCAAAGACACGUUUAAGUACAGCAAAGAAAACAAAUACAACUGGAGAGCCUUCUCCAGUAACCACAAGUCUUGAGAUAAAAUCUUCUCAAAUGAAGAAGCAAAAGGAUGGAAGUGGAGAUCACAUUGAAGUAGUUAGAAAGGAAGAAGACACCAAUCCCUUACUUGAAGCUGUAAAACUGCGUCCAAGAUCAGCCCAUUCAAAAGAGGAAUCUGAAGAAAAUCCUUCUAAACGAUAUCGAACUCGCUCAGGAAAAGCAGGUCCCAACCCGAAUGGAUCAAAUACAUCAAACUCUGGAAAUAAGAACAUUGCCUCCACCAUAUCAACUCCUGAUAAGAAAAAAGAGAAGACUAUUGUUCAGAAAAAAUCCAUUGAACCUAGAGUGUUAAGAAAACGAAAUGAACCACCUAGCCCUGUUGAGGAUGCGAAUAGUAGUGGUGCUAAGAAAGAUGUAGAUUUAUCUGAAACCUCAACAAAGAGGACAAUUCAUGUGGUGCAGGUAACUCCAGUAGGAAAGAAGAAGCGAACAGCUAAGAAAGAUCAAGAAUCACCUAGCACUGUUGAGGAUGUUGAUAGUGUUUGUGCCAAGAAAGAAAUAGAUGUAACUGAAACCUCAAGGACAAUUCACGUGGUGCAGUUACCUCCAGUAGAAAAGAAGGUUACUAAGCAAGCUGCUAAGAAAGAUCAAGAAUCUACACCUAGAGUUCCUGAUAAAGAAGAACCUGUAAAGAAAAUAUCCAAAAUGACACCCCAAAAACCAAAACAAGGUCUGAAGUGUAAAAAGUGUGGCGAAGAAUUCACAAAUGCCAAUGGUUAUAUGAAACAUAUCACCAGUGAUAAGGUCUGUAGCUAUGAUAUGACUGUUGUACCCUCAAGAUACACAUGUCCCCACUGUGUUGAUGUGUCGUUCGACAACAAAGUGACUUAUAACCAGCACCUGGCUUACCAUCAAAAAGAAGGUAGUGGUAAACGUGUUAAAAGGCAGGGGAGAUAUAAGAAAGAGAAAGUAACUGCUAGUAUAGUAGUGGAAGUAAUUAAUGAUGGAAAUCAAAAUAAGGCUGACUCUAUGAAUACAUCCAUUAAUCCUAUCACUCCUAAGUCCAAAAAUGUUAACACAACAAACAAUACUGAUGCUCAUGAGUUACAGCGUAAGUCUACAAGAAAGAGAUCGAAAAAAGUUGAUGAUGAUUUUGAGUUUGAAGAGUAUGAACUUGAAGAAAAUGAUGACGAGAUUGUUGAGGAAAUUGAGUAUACAUUUGAAAUCAGGGAAAAUACUGAUGACAUGGAAAGUGAAGAGAAUGAUGAUAAAGGAGAUGAUAACGAUCAAGAUGAAAUGGACCCUGAGUCCAAUGACAAGCUAGGACCAUUUAAGAAAACUAAAGCAAGAAAGAUUUUGGAAAAGGCAGCCAAAGCACCUGCUAACCAGGAUGAAUUUGGACGCAAAUAUAGCUGUAAGGAAUGUGGAGAGUAUUUUGAGAAUACCCAGCUACUAUCAUUACACAGGCGUUCAGAAAGUCAUGAUGGAUUCAAACCAUUCAACUGUCCAUACGGUGACUGUGACUUCAAGACAGCUGCAGUCAUAGAUCUUAACAAGCACAUUAAUAGACUACAUACAGGAGAAGAUGCUUUGGUUAGCAAGAGCACGAAUGCAUCAAAGUGUAAAUUUUGUGACCAGUAUUUUGCAACUAAGCUUACGUUAAAGCAACAUCAAACAGAUGGAGUAUGCAAGAAUGCACAAGACGGCCUUCACAAAGGGAAAAGUUAUAUGAAGACUAUAAACACCAAGGUGUUCUCUGAAAAUGAUUGGAUGAAGCCCUGCAACUUUGAUGUUCGCUGCGUUGAUGUGGAUUGCAGCUUGAUGUUCAGUUCGCAGGAUGCAGUGGACAGUCACAUAGCCAAUCAUGAGACAGAACAACAUCUACACUGUAUCCUUUGUGGCGCUGUUCAGAAGUCCUUAGAAGAGCAUAACAACCACAUCAUUCAACAACAUAAGUAUCUAUUCCAACUUGAGCUCAGCAACAAUAGUGAUGAUUAUAUUGAAUUUGAACCACCAGAGGAUGCUGCCCAGAAUGUGGAAGAACCUGAGAAACAAGAUAAUGUUGCUGCUGAUGGAGAGGAGAACACAGAUAAUGUUAUAAAAAAUCCUGAAAUUGCAGAUUACAGCCCAGAUGAUGUGACAGGCAGCAGAUUCCAAAAUGUAAAAAGUACAUCAAUGUUGAAGAAAAUGUUUCAGUGCCCUGAAUCUUAUUGUAGCGCUUCAUUUCAAACCAAAGAGCGCCUUCUGUAUCAUCUACACUCAAAAUCGCAUGGAGGAAAAGUCCCAUAUAAAUGCUAUGACUGUUUCAAGAUCUUUGGUAGUCUCUCAGUUACUGUGUCUCACUAUGAUACUCACCAUUAUGAGGAAAAUACUGCAGCUUGUCCAGUAUGUGCUAUUCCAGCACGACGAAUGCUAUACAUCAAUGAACAUCUCAGGAACCAUCAUAAAGUGAAUCUUCGUGUGACAAUACAGGACAGUGAGAAAAAUCUUGGUCCAUCUGAACUUCCGACUUACAUAUGCGGUGACUGUGGCAAGGGUUACCAAAGCCUCAGCAAAGUACGUUUCCACCAACACUCUGACAGCCAUGGGGGACUUGUACCAUUCCUUUGUGAGGUUGAUGGGUGUGAAGAGAGCUUUGGUUCAAAAAAAGCGCUUGCCCAGCAUGUAGACCAAUUUCACAGGAUAAGGCCAAUGUUUCCAUGCCCAGAGUGUGAUGUGGACUUCACAUCUCUUGUACAGGUGAACAGGCAUCUGACUGAUGUGCAUGGGAAGUGUGCUAAGAUGAAGAAAGAGGAGUUUGACAUGUACUAUCAAGGUUCUCUUGGUGAACUGAAAUGUCAAACAUGUGAUGAAGGCUUUAACACAAGAAGAGAACUCUCUGAACAUAGGCAUAUGUUAAGCCAUGAUGGUAGGGAACCAUAUAUAUGUGAAUCCCUUUUGGAAAGAGUAACACCAGAGCCAACCAAUGGACAAGAAACUGGGGUAGAUAAAAUGCCAGUCAUUGAAUUGAAAUGUGGAGCAAAGUUUGGAAGUAAAGCACAACUGGAUUCACACAUUACUACCCAUACAGGCAUCCCACAAUAUAACUGCAACAAAUGUUCAGUGGUAUUCACCAGCAAGAAUGCCCUGGCAAGACAUGCCGGUGUGCACAGCACAAAGGACAAGCAUUUCUGUUCUUUCUGUGAUAAGGUUUUCUCAAGUACUGGUACUCUGAGAGUACAUAUGAACAUCCACCUUGGAAUGAAGCUAGACUGUGAGGUUUGUGGUAAACAGUUCAACCAAAAGCCCAACCUUAUAGCCCAUGCAAGAAGCCAUACGGGGGAGAAACCUUAUAAAUGUCACUUCUGUGACUUUGCAGCAGCCAACAGGACUAACUUCAAGAGGCACUUAGAGCGCAAGCAUACCCAUCGCCAGAGACAGUAUGCAUGCAGUGUGUGUAAUAUGGCCUUCUAUGAAUUGAACACAUUAAAGGAACACACUCUUAUCCACCAGUCUAUCCGGCCAUUCCAGUGUGAGUUGUGCAGUCGUGCCUUCACACAGAGAUCAACACUAGCCAGACAUAAGAAGUCUGGUACCUGUAACAGGCCCAAGUCCCGUAAGUUCCUUGUGUCUAGCUCUGCCCUGGAGGAGGCAGUCAAAUCUUCAUUAGGACAUAAAAUCAAAGGUCUGCCACCUGGUGUUCAAGUGCGUAUCCAGGAUGACAACACUGGAAUGGGAAUCCUCACUGACAAAGAUGGCGCCCCAGUUGUAACAUCAGAUGGGAAAACCCCUCAGUAUGUAAUGGUCAUCCAGGAGCCCAAUAGCUCUAAGGAGGGGGACCAGGAGAACCCCAAUGAAGAAGAUAUGGAAGUAGAACAUGUGGAAGGUCUAACUGUCCCAGAACACAUGCUUAUCACUGAGCCUCCGAAACAGGCAAAGUCUGGUAUAAGUGGCAUAAAACAUCAGAUUCCUUUACAGUUGGAUACAUCCGAACAUCACGGUGGAUUAAUUGUAGAUGAAAACAGUAUCCCCCAAGGAAUUAACAUUCCAGGAAUACAGUUUCACAAAGGAAGUGAUGGUCGUAUCUAUGUCUUGGGAGCGUCUCAACAAGCAUCUGGUGCACCAGUAGUUGAUAUAGAACAACAAAGUGGAAAAGCUGAAAGCCAGAUUACCUUUACAAAUCUAGCUCAAUCAAGUCAGCAGCAGGAUGGUGAGAUUAGGGGCUACACAAUUGUUGAGAGAGCUGAAGAUAGCUCUGUUGGUGAAGAGGAUAGCGAGACUCAUAUUGCUUAUGUCAGUGAAGAUGGACAGAUUGUUAUCCAGCAAAGUACAUCUGAGGACUCUUCUCAAGGACUCCAGCAAAUGGAGGUCCAGGAAGUAGCCAUGGAGACCCAAGCGGAUGAGGCUGCCAUGGAGACACCAGAUGAACAUAUUGUCAUGAAAACAACUAAUGAUGAACAAGUUCCAAUUAUAAUUGCUGAAACUGUUGAUGAAGGUGGUGAUGCUAUUGAAGGUUCAGAUAAUGUGGCUUCUGAGGUUACAGAUAACACUACUACCACCCUUAGAGAUCUAAAUGAUGAAACCUCAAUUGAGAUUGCAAGAAUUAUAUCUGAAAUGGGUACUGUGGAAAAUAGCAACUGACUUGUGUGAUAAACAUUGUAUAUAUAACUUCAUUUACAUUGAUUCAUUAUAUACAAAUAUUUUUGAGACCGUUUCAUGCAUUAGAAAGCUUGAUGGAAGCUUAAAGAUAAUCGACUGGCAUUUGUACAUAAUGGCAAUUUAAAUUAAUAUAAUGUUAUACAUUUAUAUCUUAAGAUGUUUUUUAUCAGACCCUUGGGUCGUGCUAUAUUGAGAUCAUUUUGCCAGGCAUAAAUGUUAAGGUGGCCAUUUUUUGUCUGGUAAAGUUUGUCUAGACACUUCUAUGAAAACCGUUUUACAGACUGAUUUCAAAUUUUCAGGGAUGUUUCUUUGUGUGAAAAUCUAAAACUGAUUAGAUUUUUGGCAUUAUGGGUAAAUGUUAAGGUGGCCGAUUUUGAUCUUCC